rnacentral:rRNA from 1 species
CAUGCAAGUCGAACGAGGAUAUAUCCUUCGGGAUAUAAGCCGAGUGGCGCAAGGGUGAGUAAUGCAUAGAUUACCUGCCUCUAAGAUAAGGGCAACUUUGUGAAAACGAAGCUAAUACUUAAUAAUACAAAAGAAAAUAAUUUUCUUUUGUCAAUGGGAGGGUAGCAAUACCUUUUGCUUAGAGAGGGGUUUAUGUCCUAUCAGCUUGUUGGUGGGGUAAUGGCCUACCAAGGCGAAGACGGGUAGCCGGUCUUAGAGGAUGGUCGGCCACACUGGGACUGAGACACUGCCCGGACUUCUACGGAAGGCUGCAGUCGAGAAUCUUUCGCAAUGCCCGAAAGGGUGACGAAGCGACGCCGCGUGAGUGAGGAAGGCCUUCGGGUUGUAAAGCUCUGUCAGGGGUUAAGAAAUAUAAGUGUGCUAAUACCGCAUUUAUUUGACGAAGGCUCCAAAGGAAGCCACGGCUAACUCUGUGCCAGCAGCCGCGGUAAUACAGAGGUGGCAAGCGUUGUUCGGAAUUAUUGGGCGUAAAGAGCACGUAGGUGGGUUUGUAAGUCAGAUGUGAAAGCCUUCUGUUCAACGGAAGAAUUGCAUCUGAAACUGCGAGUCUUGAGUGUAGGAGGGGAGAAUGGAACUUCUGGUGGAGCGGUGAAAUGCGUAGAUAUCAGAAGGAACGCCGGCGGCGAAAGCGAUUCUCUGGCCUAUUACUGACACUCAGUGUGCGAAAGCUAGGGGAGCAAACGGGAUUAGAUACCCCGGUAGUCCUAGCCGUAAACGAUGGGCACUAAGUAGAGGGAAUUACCGAUGUUCUCUCUGCCGUAGCUAACGCAUUAAGUGCCCCGCCUGGGGAGUACGGCCGCAAGGCUAAAACUCAAAAGAAUUGACGGGGGCUCGCACAAGCGGUGGAGCAUGUGGCUUAACUCGAUGCAACGCGAAGAACCUUACCGGGGCUUGACAUGGUAGAAGUAGGAACCCGAAAGGGUAACGAACGGUAUCCAGUCCGUAACUAUCACAGGUGUUGCAUGGCUGUCGUCAGCUCGUGUCGUGAGACGUUGGGUUAAGUCCCCUAACGAGCGAAACCCUUGUUUUUAGUUACCAGCGGGUUAUGCCGGGUACUCUAGAAAGACUGCCGUCGUCAAGACGGAGGAAGGUGGGGAUGACGUCAAGUCAUCAUGGCCCUUAUGCCCCGGGCUGCACACGUGCUACAAUGGUCGGUACAAACGGAAGCGAAGCCGAGAGGUGAAGCGAAUCCUAAAAAGCCGAUCUCAGUUCGGAUUGGAGGCUGAAAUUCGCCUCCAUGAAGUUGGAAUCGCUAGUAAUCGCGGAUCAGCAUUGCCGCGGUGAAUAUGUUCCCGAGCCUUGUACACACCGCCCGUCAAGCCACCCAAGCAGGAUGCACCCGAAAACAUUAUAUCUAACCAGGUUUACUUGGAGGAAAAUGUUGAAGGAGUGUUUUGUGAGGAGGACUAAGUCGUAACAAGGUAGUCGUAGGAGAACCUGCGGCUGGAUCACCUCCUUUCU